GAUGAACGCUGGCGGCGUGCCUAAUACAUGCAAGUCGAGCGAACAGAUGAGGAGCUUGCUCCUCUGACGUUAGCGGCGGACGGGUGAGUAACACGUGGAUAACCUACCUAUAAGACUGGGAUAACUUCGGGAAACCGGAGCUAAUACCGGAUAAUAUAUUGAACCGCAUGGUUCAAUAGUGAAAGACGGUUUUGCUGUCACUUAUAGAUGGAUCCGCGCCGCAUUAGCUAGUUGGUAAGGUAACGGCUUACCAAGGCAACGAUGCGUAGCCGACCUGAGAGGGUGGUCGGCCACACGGGAACUGAGACACGGUCCAGACACCUACGGGAGGACGCAGUAGGGAAUCUUCCGCAAUGGGCGAAAGCCUGACGGAGCAACGCCGCGUGAGUGAUGAAGGUCUUCGGAUCGUAAAACUCUGUUAUUAGGGAAGAACAAAUGUGUAAGCAACUAUGCACGUCUUGACGGUACCUAAUCAGAAAGCCACGGCUAACUACGUG
rnacentral:rRNA from 1 species